AUUAUAUUAACGAAGAAAUCUUUAGUUAUUUACCCCCCCCCCCUCCGAAACGUAUCUACAAGCAUGAUCAGUGUAUGUGAAAGCAGUUGGAGGUGAAGUUCCAGCCACUUCAUCCUUGGCUCCUAAAAUUGGUCCUCUGGGUUUGUCUCCAAAGAAGAUUGGUGAUGACAUUGCCAAAGGCACAGCAGAUUGGAAAGGCCUAAAAAUCACGGUGAAGCUUGUGGUCCAGAACCGUCAAGCCAAGGUAGAAGUGGUGCCUAGUGCUUCUUCACUCCUCAUCAAGAGCCUGAAGGAACCACCCAGGGAUAGAAAGAAGGUUAAACAUGUCAAGCACAGCGGAAACCUCUCUAUGGAUGACGUUAUUGCUAUUGCACGUCAAAUGCGUCCAAGGAGUAUGGCCAAAAAUCUCGCUGGUACCUGUAAAGAAAUUUUAGGUACUGCCCAGUCAGUUGGGUGCUCUGUAGAAAGAUGUCCACCUCAUGACAUAAUUGAUAAAAUCAAUUCUGGAGAAGUGGAAGUACCCGACGAAUAGACUGGAUGUGUGCUGUAAAAUAAGAAAAUAAAAAAAAUGUGAAAACACCU
rnacentral:misc_RNA from 1 species